rnacentral:rRNA from 1 species
UAGGGAAUCUUCGGCAAUGGGGGGAACCCUGACCGAGCAACGCCGCGUGAGUGAAGAAGGUUUUCGGAUCGUAAAGCUCUGUUGUUAAGGAAGAACGAGUGUGAGAAUUGAAAGUUCAUACUGUGACGGUACUUAACCAGAAAGGGACGGCUAACUACGUGCCAGCAGCCGCGGUAAUACGUAGGUCCCGAGCGUUGUCCGGAUUUAUUGGGCGUAAAGCGAGCGCAGGCGGUUAGAAAAGUCUGAAGUGAAAGGCAGUGGCUCAACCAUUGUAGGCUUUGGAAACUGUUUAACUUGAGUGCAGAAGGGGAGAGUGGAAUUCCAUGUGUAGCGGUGAAAUGCGUAGAUAUAUGGAGGAACACCGGUGGCGAAAGCGGCUCUCUGGUCUGUAACUGACGCUGAGGCUCGAAAGCGUGGGGAGCGAACAGG